CGGCAGCCCCCAGACCCUUUUGGAUGCCGACCCCUUGGAGAGAGGAGGGAAGCGGGAUCGGGGUCUGCCGGCAACACAGUCGCGGGGAUCGGGGCGGGGCGCCGGGUGAAGACGAGGUGGACCCCCGCGGCAGCCGCGGGGACUGCGGGCUGGGGGGCCCGGAGGGCGGGAAACGGGAGCCUCGAUCCCCAGGCAGAGCGGGUGUGGGGCAUCCUAUCCCUCCCAGCUCCGGGAGCGGCGCCAGAAGGGCGCACCGCGGAAAGGGUGGGGCGGGACACCCGAGACAGCAGCUCGAGAGGGUGCAGAAUGUGGGCGCGCAUCUGCGGCCUGGGACAGCUGAAGCGGCGGGAGGGGCAGCCCCAGGGAGUUUGGGUUCAGGAAAGGAAACAAAAUAAAAUGUUGAGGUUAGAGAAGGUGGUGGGGAGGAGGUCAGGAAAUCAAAGGCAGGUUAUUACCCAUACCACCUGCCAUGUCCCCAUCUCCCUAACGUACCAGGUCACCUCGGGGGCAUCUGAGCCUUCCUCCCACAGAAAAACUUGUUCCUUGCAUGGGAAAUUCACCUUGGCUCUUCUUGUCCCACGUGGUUUAGUUUCAGACUCCCAUUGGGGGGCGAGUAGGGUGGGUCAGGUGAUGACCUGCCAAGCACCCGGCUUUGAAGAGACUACACAAGGAAGGGACAGGAACUGGAUGAAGGCCAGAAUGCACUUCCAGCUCUGCCCCCAGACAGUCUGCAAAGGGCCUUGCACCCUUCUCCUGGACAAGCCUGCCGAAGAGACCCACCUGCUCAUCUGGGCACACACCCCAGGGAACAGGCACCUCGCCCCUCCUCCCCUGAGGACUUGCAGUCUCCUGGUCUGCUGAGACAAAUCCACAUGCUCAGCCACAGAGACUGAAGGUUGUAACCGAGAGUUCAGAAUUUACCCUCCUCGCAAUUUUGUGACACUUGCCCACGGUGCCAUUCAUUUGCCACUUUUCUGCUUACUUGCAAGAUCCCUCUGCAGUUCCUCCCCUGUCUGUUGCCGUGGCAUUUGGGAGCGAGGAAAAUGCGUCUGCAAACUUGGAGAUUUCCCUGUUUACACUGGGAGGCGAGUGUUCACGAAAUCUUUUCAUGUGUUAUUAAUGCAGUCAUCAAAUAAAACCAGUCACUGGAA